CCUACGGGCGGCUGCAGUGGGGAAUAUUGCACAAUGGGGGAAACCCUGAUGCAGCGACGCCGCGUGAGUGAAGAAGUAUUUCGGUAUGUAAAGCUCUAUCAGCAGGGAAGAAGAAAGACGGUACCUGACUAAGAAGCCCCGGCUAACUACGUGCCAGCAGCCGCGGUAAUACGUAGGGGGCGAGCGUUAUCCGGAUUUACUGGGUGGAAAGGGAGCGUAGACGGCUGUUCAAGUCGGAAGUGAAAGCCCAGGGCUGAACCCUGGGACUGCUUUGGAAACUGUGGAGCUAGAGUGCUGGAGAGGUAAGUGGAAUUCCUAGUGUAGCGGUGAAAUGCUUAGAUAUUAGGAGGAACACCAGUGGCGAAGGCGGCAUACUGGACAGUAACUGACGUUGAGGCUCGAAAGCGUGGGGAGCAAACAGGAUUAUAUACCCGAGUAGUC
rnacentral:rRNA from 1 species